GACAUCAGACGCAGGCUGCGUCCUCUAAACCAAUAGUAAGAGGUCGUGGAGGCGCCCCGGAAAAGGGUUGCCCAGGCAACCAGGCGCCAGUCGUUCAGAGGGCAGCUGUCUUUCGCGACAAAGAAGCACCAGGUGGAGGAUGUUUUUCGAGUAAGAGUUGCAGAGAGCAGAGAGAAGAUAACGGGUUCCCAGUCGCCCGCGCCUUAACCUCUCUCCAUAGGUUGCCCUUCCUCUCCUUGAAAUUGUGUAGAGAGGAUAAGGCUUGGAGGAAUGUGGCAUCUGGUCCUCUGUUGUCAUCUGCUGGGAUGUACAUACUUUGGUCUUUCUGGUCCUCAGUCAUUUAUCCUUUAUUCAGAAUGCAAGAGUAAACAUGGACAAAAAAUGCAGAAGCCAUAUGCUAAUAAUGAUGGAACAAGAAGGCAAGAGGAACCUGGGGCACUUGGACUUCAAGUAGCUGUCAAACCACUUCUAAACUGCAUCUCUCUUCCUGACCUCUUGUUUUUUGAAAAAAAUAAGCUGACCAAAUUUCAGUGGUUUAUUUUCCAGUAAGUUCAACCUAACUCAAUGCCUAGGUUCAAUACUAGAGAAGAGACUCUUCUAUAAAAGCAAGCUUGAAGUGUAUAUUUUUCUUUUUUUAAUUAAUUAUGGUAAGAAAACGCAAGCACAUAACAUAAAAUUUACCAACUGAGAUCCAUUUUGAACUGUACAGUCCCGUAGCGUCAAGUAUUUUCACAUUGUUGUGCAACAAACCUUUUUCUUGUGUUGUUAUUUGAGGAUGGGAUCUUAGGAGUUAAUUAAGUUGAGAUUAGGUUAUGAGGGUGAGUCUCCCAUGAUGGAAUUAGUGCUUUCAUAUGAAAAGAUAAUAGAGUUUCUGUGUGUGCACUCUCUUGUUCUCUCUCUCUCUCUCUCUCUCUCUCUCUCUCUCUCUCUCUCUCUCUCUCUCUCUCUCUCUCUCGCCCCCCCAACCCUCUCUCUGCUAAGUGAGGACACAAUAAGAAGGCAGCCUUCUGUAAGCCAGGAAGAGACCCCCUUACCAAGAUCUGGUCAUGCUAGCACCCUGAUCUCAUACUUCCAGCUCCAGAACUGGGGGGAAUAUGAUUUCUGGUGUGUAAACCCCUCAGUCAGUGGUAUUUUGGUAUGGCAGCCUGAGCUGACUGAGACACACAAUACAGGAAAUAACUUUCAUGUCCAUCAGUGGGAGAAUAAUUGGAUAAUUAUUGAGCAUUAUUUAUCUAUUAAAAAGAAUGAAUAAGAGAUGAAUGUAUUGAUUUCAUUAGUGUCCAUGAUCCUUUUUAAGAGAGAAAAAAAAGGAAGUUGUAAAGUGACGCAUAUGGAUUGAACUUCUGUUUGUAAAUGAAAUUAAAACAACUAAAAUACAUGCAUAUUUUUAUAUAUAAACGUACACACAUAGACAUAUCUUAUUUACCUGUCUAUCCUUGUGUUUGCCUCUAUCCACCCCCAUUUGUCUGUCUGUGAAUCCAUCUGAUCUAUCUAAUGCUACCUGUUAGUCUAGAGAAAUGCUUAAAAUGGCGCUUUCUUCUGAAGAGUGUAAUUAAUAGCAGAGGAAAGAUUAAUUUUAUUCUUUAUAUAUCUCUGCAUUGUUUUACUUCUUAAGCAACUUUGAAGUUUUGUAAUUCAGACAGAAAAAAAUUAGUUUUUUUUAAUGGUGGGGAUUUUAAAACACUUUACUAUGUAGCUUAAGAAUUAAAACACUCAAGAGAAGGUUGAUCAGAGAUAUUUUCCAUCUGAGUAUUUCUUAUCUCAUCCUAUCCCAUAUGGUAAAAAGGAAUUCUCUCAUUAGUGGAGUAUGCUAUUUAAGUCCUAAUUACAGAAAGCCUGUAAAUAUUUGGAAAUCUGUAAAGUUAAUUGUAUGAUUUCUCAAAGCCAGUUAUUAUAAAGAGAAAAAGAAAACAUUAUCCAAAUAAACUGCUUGAAAUGUUCUAAAACACUGUGUAUUAAAAAUAUUUAUCUUCCAUACUUCAUUUUUUAGAGUUGAAAGAUACACUCAGAGGCCAAAUAGCAAAGAUCCCUUAUUUUAAAGUUUAGACAAAUGAAGCCCAGAAAGUAUUCACAACUUGCCCACAGUCUACAAUGAAUUUGUAAGAAAAAUGAAGACAGCAGUUGAAAACCUAGUGAUUAGAAAACUGUAUGGAAAACUAUAAGAAAAUUAUGUUUCAUCUACUUGGUACAUACAGUAAACAACCCUAGAACUUAGUAGCUUAAAACAAUAGGAAUUUAUUACUUUUCGUGAUCCAUGGGUCAGGAAUUUGGGCUGAGCUUGCUUUCUUUCCACAUAGUGUUGGCCAGGGAUUUUUCACUUGGCUGCAUUGAGCUCAAAGCUGGUUGUCUUGGUGCCUUUCCAUGCUUCACAUGAUGAGCAUGGGUUUCCUUACAGCAUGGUGAUCUAAGUGUAGUCCAACCUCCUUCCAAGAAGGAAUGUUCCAAGAGGAUCAGCACCAAUGUCUUAAAGCUCACACAAGCUCUUUUUUUACCAUAUGUACUAAUGCCACACUGGUCAGAGCAAGUCAUGAGGCAGACAUAUGACUGUCAAACCACAGUCUAUAAAAAAGAAGGCAUAAGUGGGUAUAAUUUUAUGUUAACCUUUAAGCAACAAGGAAUCCUAAUUUAAAGGAAUAAAUGUGACUACACUGGAUUUUUUUAGUAUAGGAGUUGGCAAACAUUGGCACUAAGUCCAGCAGACUAAAAUGUCACUGUGGUCUACUGGCUGGCACAGGGACUUAUGAAGGUCAGGUGAUUAAUGCAGUUUUAGCUCAGAUCUAUCCCACAGUGGCUCCAGUGAGUCUCUGAACCCAGGCUGUGAUUAUUUCCCCAUUUCUGGGAUGCAUAAUAUAAAUAGACGUCCUCAGAAACUGGCAGAAUUUUCACAUUCAUUCCUUGGCCUGUGAAGUGAGGGCUACAGUAGUAGAAAAGGCCAAGAGAAACCACUAGAACAGCAUUUACCUAGGAAAAUAGUAGGCCAAAAACAACAUCACAUGCCUAGAGGGGUAUCAGUGAUGAAUGCCACCAACAAGCACUGAAACUAUAUAGACGUUGUAACUGCCAUCACAUUUCCAUUCAACUCACCUAUUUGACCAGUGUGGAAAACUGACAAAACUAGGAGAAACACGGUAGAUUUUCACAAAGCUAAAUCAAUUACUUCAGACACAGCUACUGUACCAUAUGUGGUUCAUUGCUUGGGGAAAUUACCGUAUCUUCUGGUACCUCGUAUGCGACUAUUGAUCUGGCAAAUGCUUUUACGCUCACUAUGCAUUAGUAAAGUCUCAGUGAUUCUAGCAUUGAAAGUUAGAGUUUGGGAACACAGAUACAGUGAUGCCUUUUACGCUCACUAUGCAUUAGUAAAGUCUCAGUGAAGCAGUUUGCUUUCAUCUGACAAAGCCAACAAUACUCCUUUACUGUCCCACUUCAGGGGUAUAUGGGCUGUCCUACCAUGCUUCAUAAUUUAAUUGACGGAAACUUAGAUAGCCUUUUCCUUCCAUAACAAAUUACACUGGUUAUUUGCACUGAUGAUAUUAUGAUGACUGGACUGAAUGAGCAAGGAGUAACAACUCCACUGUAUUUAUAGGGAAGACAUUUACAUGUCAGAAUGUGGAAAAUAAAUCUGACCAAAAUUCAAGUACGUCCACCUCAGUAUAAUUUCUAGGGAUCCAGUGGUAUGUGGCAUGUCGAGAUAGUCCUUCUAAGGCAAAGGACACAUUGUCGCAUCUCACCACAAAAAGAGACACGACACCUAGUGGGCCUCUUUGGAUGUUGGAGGCAACAUAUUUGACUCUUGGGUGCAAUAUUAUAGCCCAUUUACAGAGAGACCCUAAAAGCUACCAGUUUUGAGUGAGGUCCAGAGCAAGAGAAGGCUCUGCAACAGCUCCAGGCUGCUAUCCAAGCUGCUUUACCAUAUAAUCCAGUACAUCUAAUGGUGUUUGACGUGUCAGUGGUAAAUACAGGUGCUGUUUAGAACCAAUGACAUAAAGCAAUCAUUUUAUUUAGGUGAAUGAUAAGCACACUUUGAAACUUUUCACAAAUUCUCCCAAAUCUUUCAUUUUUCACUCUAUACCUUUCACCUGGUGUGAUGGUUAAUUUUAUGUGUCAACUCGACUGGGCCAUGAUGCCUUGAUACUUGAUUAAUCAUUAUUCUGGAUGUUUUUGUGAGGGUGUUUUGCUAAGGGAUUUACAUUUAAGUUAGUAGACUUUGAGUAAAGCAGAUUGCCUUCCAUAAUGUGGGUAGUCUUCACCCAGUCAGUUGAAGGCCUUAAUAGAACAAAAGAAUGACCUUCCCUGAAGCAAGAUGGAAUUCUACAGCUUAACAGCCUUCACACUUGAACUGUAGCCUUGGCUCUUCUGGAUCCCUGCUCUGCAAGUUUUGGACAUGGCAGCCUCCAUAAAUACAUGAGCCAGUUCCUCAAAUAUCUUUCUCAUUCACACACACACACACACUAUUGAUUCUAUUUCUUUAGAGAAUAAUGCACUUGAUUUCUCCAUAUUUUGUAUAAAUUCUAGUUGUCCAGUAGGGCAGCCUUGAAUAGCAGUAUCAAAACUCUGUAAAAAGGCUAAUCUGUGUAUCUGUGUUCCCAAACUCUAACUUUCAAUGCUAGAAUCUCUGAAGUACUUGUUUUGCUGCUGAGAGGAAUUGGCUGUCUUUGGUCUUCGGCUCCCACAUUGGUUUAAAGAAAGAGAUCAGUGUUGGGAAUAAGAUAGCUCCAAAGAGCAGAAUGAAGGGAAA